rnacentral:rRNA from 1 species
GACUGGAGGGCUUGCAGAGGAUAAUGAGUGUCUUGGGACAGGGAGGGGCCGAGGGUAAUCACGGGGUAGGGGUGAAAUCCUGUAAUCCCGUGGGGACCACAUGUGGCGAAGGCGCUCGGCUGGAACGGAUCCGACGGUGAGGGACGAAAGCCAGGGGAGCAAACCGGAUUAGAUACCCGGGUAGUCCUGGCUGUAAACGAUGCUCGCUAGGUAUUGGCCUCUCUUCGGGAGGGGUCAGUGCCGUAGCGUAGGCGUUAAGCGAGCCGCCUGGGGAGUACGGUCGCAAGGCUGAAACUUAAAGGAAUUGGCGGGGGAGUACACAAGGGGUGGAGUCUGCGGUUCAAUUGGACUCAACGCCGGGAACCUUACCAGGGGCGACGGCAGGAUGAAGGUCAGCCUGAAGGGCUUACCAGACGCGCCGAGAGGUAUUGCAUGGCCGACGUCAGCUCGUGCCGUGAGGUGUGCCGCUAAGCCGGUUAACGAGCGAGACCCGUGCCCUCUGUUGCUACCUCUAUCUUCGGGUAGAGGGGCACUCAGAGGGGACUGCCUGCGUGAAGCAGGAAGGAAGGUGCGGGCGACGUUAGGUCAGUAUGGUCCGAAUCUCCUGGGCUACACGCGGGCAACAAUGGCCGGGACAAUGGGACGCGACCCCGAAAGGGAAAGCAAAUCCUCGAAACCCGGUCUCAGUUCAGAUCGAGGGCUGCAACUCGCCCUCGUGACGCCGGAAUCCCUAGUAGUCGAACGUU